rnacentral:rRNA from 1 species
CACGGGGGGAGGAAAGUAGGGGAUCGCAAGACCUUGCACUUUUGGAGCGGCCGAUGUCUGAUUAGCUAGUUGGUGGGGUAAUGGCCUACCAAAGCUUCGAUCAGUAGCUGGUCUGAGAGGACGGCCAGCCACACUGGGACUGAGACACGGCCCAGACUCCUACGGGAGGCAGCAGUGGGGAAUUUUGGACAAUGGGCGCAAGCCUGAUCCAGCCAUGCCGCGUGAGUGAAGAAGGCCUUCGGGUUGUAAAGCUCUUUCAGCCGGGAAGAAAAGGUUGCGAUUAAUAAUCGCAAUUUAUGACGGUACCGGAAGAAGAAGCACCGGCUAACUACGUGCCAGCAGCCGCGGUAAUACGUAGGGUGCGAGCGUUAAUCGGAAUUACUGGGCGUAAAGGGUGCGCAGGCGGUUUUGUAAGUCAGA